UUUUUAUUAAGUUGAAUGUGCUCUUUGACAGAAUAUUAAAAUGAGGUGAAAUAAAAAUUCACUAAAUUGACUGCUCAAAAGGCACCUAAUUGGUGGAAUGAUACUUGUAAGUGUUUGGAGACUAAAAGAAGAGCUGAUGUCAUUGAUGUAAACCUAUGUGUUGGACUUUUACAGACCAAGAAGGCCAGACAUGAGCUGGACGUUGGACUGAACCAAGAGCCAAGGGGACUACGUGAUGACCAGAUCCCUCCUACUCUCUUCGGCUCAGGAGAUCAGGACAAUUCAUACUCUACGUUGUCUAAUGCCCAGCUUGAUGGAGCGGUGGCCAGCAGAGCGCUCACCACAACAACAGCCUCUGAAUAUAACUCCCACAUCUACCAAGGAAGCAGGUAAAUAUCCUCUGUUGUGAUUGGUUAUUCAGUGUUUCCUGGUCCUGCGGAGCCAAAUGGGUGCACAAGUUUUGUAAUAUCACUAACACGCCU
rnacentral:lncRNA from 1 species